UCUUCUUUUCCUGGGGCUGGUACCUGAUGUCCAGUCCAGGCAGGCAAAGAAAUCCUCUUUCACAACCAUUUCCCAAGUGCAUUAGCACAUAGAGAAGGGCCCCUUUAUCUGUCUAACAUGGCAGCCUGUCCCUUUAAGGGUCAGCUGGCCCUCUCCAAUUAGCGCCCUCUGUGCCAUAAUUAGCUGCCUCUCCUUCUGAGGAGGUGGGAUUAAUGGGGCCAUUUGUGAGUAUGGUGAACACCUGUGCUUUGUAAAAAGAGAGAGAGAGAGAGAGAGCGAGCACAGUUGGGGGACAAGCUGUGGUAGCAACUGCAGAAAGCAGCUAUUUCUGGCAGGGUGUGCUACCCCCAGGGUGCAGUGGAGGUCUCUGGGAGAAGCUUGUGGGCUACAUGAGGAGGAAGGCAGUGGAGGAAAGCUGCUAGGAGAGAAAGAAGUCUCUGGGGAGAAAGUGCCCUGCUAUAAGGAGCAAGAACUCUGCAGGCCUGUGGGAGUAGGGGUAAAGAGCAGGGAACUCCAAUGAGCAAUAGACUGUGAGAGAGACUCCAAAGGAAGCAUCCUGGAAUCCAGCUUUCUCUAAAGGAGACAGAAAGCCUUCAAUAUAGACUAGAAUGGGCUCAGUUCUCUGCCCCAAAGGUAGGUGGAAGAACAAGACUUCUGUUAUCCUGGAAAGGGCCUGAACUUGAGAGGUGACCUGGCUGGAGGGCUGGGCCCCAGGAGAUCCAGGCUGUUGGAGAACCAGCUUGGCUGACAACUGGGUGGUGCUGGAAUAGAAGAAUCCCUGUGUCCUGAUUUGAGGGGUUGCUCUGGUGCAGCCCUGCCAUUCCAGUGCCAGGCUCUCUCGCAGCGCCGCUAAUGCAUGUCAAUCCAGACCAGGAGCAUCCCUCUGCGAUGCGUCCUGGGCCUCCAUUCAGCUCUGCUAAUGCAUGUCAAUCGUAGCUUUAAACACCCCCUGCUAAUCCAAUUCAGGGGCCCCAGCACCGCAGCUCUCUGAGUACGAGGCCCCUCACAGCUCGGACAGCACUCACCAAUCCGGACCUGCUGUUCCAGCCUUGGGCCUCGUCUGAGGAGAGGUGGGGUAAAGGACGGGCGACAUCUGAACAACGCGUAGCCAAAGGAGAGAUUUCCAGGGCUUUGUCACUGCAGGUCUCGCUUUCACAAAAUACCUCGGCUUCCCCUGGUGUAAGCGCAGGGCAGCUGGAGGGAGCGGUGGAGGUGGGAGGACAGUCACCCUCCGCACACAGUGAUGGCUGUUGUUAAACGUGGAGAAGGGCUGAAUCUCUGGCCUCCCACCAGCUUCUCUGGUAUUUUCAGCUGCCCAUCCAGGGGAUAACCUCCUGGCAACGCGCUAGCAGCUGACAAACUGCCCUUUCUCUACUCCAGCCGCCUGGGCCAAUGCCCACUGAAGUCAAUGGAAAGACUCCCACUGAUUUCAAGGGGCUCUGGAUCAGGCUCUGUGUUUACUACCCCUUGCUCCUCCUCCCUCUCUGAGGGUCUGAUCCUGCGCCGUGCACUCUGAACACCCACUGACUUCAGUGGGAUGUCCUAGGCGCAGAGCACCUCUCCGGAUUGGGCCCCUCUCUGGGGAGGAGGUGUUGAGCGAGGAGAGCGCCCUGGCCAAGAGUCAGUUGGCUCAAGGCUGUUCCCCACCAUUGUGGCACCAAACCUCAUAGGUGGAGACUGGACUGGGGGUUCCCCAGAGCUGGGGCAGGAGAAGUGGGGAGGCCCGAGGAGGAGGGAAAGUCAGACGGUGGAGCGAGACCAACACUGGGAAGAUUCAGGGCAACUAAAGAUCUUGGAGCACCUCAUAUGAGAGAGAAGCAGGGACCUCUGGAGGAGAAAAGGAAGGUGGGGCUCAGGGCCUCCAAAGGAAGAGAGGGAUCAAAGGUGUAACAAGGCUGGUGCCUCCUAGACAUGUUCCAUGGCAGAAGGGGGAGCAGUCAGCAAAGAUGGCUCUUCCUCUCAGAUGUGGCUGAUUUACAGUGAAUCCUAGCACUUUCUGAUUCUCUCUUUCCAGCCCGGAAGCAGAUUCUUUCCCAGCGGCCCAGUGAAGGUUUGGGGGGAAGGUGUGUUGUUCCUCAGCCCUGCAGGCCCGGUGGAGCUAUCAGACAUAGAGCUGGACUCUAUUCUUGCUCGUGUACGGUCGCACAAAUUGUUCGCUACCUUCCAGUGGCAGUAUCUUCCUUGCAGGGGGUGAAGCAUGAGCCAGAAAGAAGCUGGCUUUGUUUAGAACUGGAGUGUGAAUGCCUUCAUUGCUGGCAAGCCGUUACUGCCAAUCUCAAGUGCCCAACCAUCACGGGUCAGGCCCAGAAGGCUCAUGACCCUGGUUUAAAAUCAGGAGAUUGAAUGGAAAAAAAAAAAUCAGUGGGAGGUUCUUUCUUUGCACCUUUGGGGUGCACUCUGGCCAUGUGGUCAAGCUUUUCUCCUCAACCAGCAGGGCUAGAAACUUCUUAUUGAAAGGGGAGCUGCAAUUCCCCCAUAGUCACCUGAGUCCACUGGGCCUUCAGUUACUCAGAUACAGCCAAUUGGAGUCAACGCUCAUCAGUGUAAGAGGUUGACGAUUGGCCUUUAGGGAUCCUGGGCAGAGGUUGAGCGGUUAUCUCUCACACAAGUUCCUUUUCCUUGUCAGUUGAGCAGAUCUGGUUAUGGAGUCACAGGAAGACAAUAAACGGCUGGUUGGCCGGUUAGGGUUUUUUGAGUCCCCUUUUGGAGCAGGGCCAAACUUUAAAAGACUCUGGUUUGGGUCAUCCCUGAAAUAGGUUGGACGUGCACUAGUGAAUGAGAAACAGUUGGAGACGCUGGCCUCAUGGAUCAAGUCUCUGUCUCGUAUUUGAAAGGUUCUGAGCCCUGGACCAUUUUGCAAGGUGUAGCUAGGAGUAAUCUACCCUAGGCUUUUCCAUAGCACCAAGUGCCAGAAUGAAAUUAACCAAGGCCCUUUUUUGGCCGAACAUCAGGAGGCUUUCCUAACGGAGAGAUCUACUGGGCUGUAUAUAGCCUCCCAAAGGAAUUGGCAGAGACUCCAUUGCUGGUGAUUUCCAACUGUCUGGGUCAAAACACUGGAGAAAGGAUUGUAUAGGGAAAUCCUGCAUUGGCCCCCGAGGAUCAGACUCAGGAGCAAAUACAUCAGGUGCAUCUCUUAUUUCUGUGGUUCUAGGGACUGAUUGCCCUUCUGCAGAAAUAAGAAGUGGCUGUGAAGCUCUGACUCCAAAAUGCUAUAGAGCUAGAACGGGACACGUGGCACCAAUUCACCUGCUCCGAUUCAGUUGCCCAAACCCCUUCUGCUGCUGUCAAGCUCUGGGCUGCUGUCCUCAGUGCCCCAGCCUCAUGCAUGUCGCCUGGGGCCGCCGCUCUUAGGAAUGCCCAGGGACCCACGGCAGGCCUGUUGCCCUAAGGCUAUGCAGCCACUGCACCCAGAGAGUGCUGCCAGGGGAAGGCUCCCUCCAGGGCCCAUGCUUCACCCUGCUGUUUUGCUGUCGGUUCUGCAUGCGCAAACAGGGAGCGGUUAUCCCCUCCUCCAGGCCUGCACUGAGCUCCCCUGGCACUGCUGAUGUACCUGAAUGGAAAAUGUAACAAACAAUUCACUACAGUGAUCAUCUCUCCCCUGGGGCCCAGCAACAGGGAAGAGGAGGAAGUAAACCUACAAGCUACCAUAUAUGGCACUUCCAAGGGUCCCAUGGCUACUCCAAAUCCCAGCUCUGCCCGGUGGCUUUUAAUCUUUAACCUUUUCAAAGGGAACAGCCAGAUCCCCUAAAUGGAAUCAGUGGCAGUCAGGGACCUAAAUACUUUUGAGGAUCUGGGCCUGAGAGACUGGGGGCUCGUUCCUGUGAGGUGCUGACUUCAGUGGAGACUGUGGGUGCUCUAUCAGCGAGAUGGAGCCCUUGCUGAGUAAGGAGUGAGCUGGGACCAGAGCUGUACUUGUGACUGCCCUCCAGGGCAGGGGGGAGCUCCUGUCUCUCUGACACUCACUGUUUUCCUGGACUUAGCUGCAAAUCCUCUCUUGUCCCUUGUCCGGCUUCUUUUCCUCCUCCCCAGCCAUGACAUCAAGUGAGUGACAGAAAUGUUCCAGCACUGAGCGCAACUGGCCGGGCAUCAGCUCCUGUGACCUGCUGGCCCUGAACUCUGGCGGUGGGGUGGCGUGUGUGUUACACAAACAGGGUCACCCCUGUUGCAGAAGGGGAUACAGAACAACUGAGCAGAGCAGAGCCCAGGCGAUCUGGAGGCUGCUAGACUCCCAUAGGGGUUUUGGGCUCUGUUCUCCUUUCAUUCACACCAGGGAGGAUCGCCAUGCUACUCUGGUGUGACCUCAGCCUAAGUGGAAGGAGAACCAGGUGCUCAGAUUAUAGUGGCUCUGAGCAGCAAUUAGAGCAAUUCCCUCUCUUUUCACUGCCCUGCCGACUCCUUGGUUGGGGCAGCAGGUUUGCACCCGCCACGUAGCGCUGUGCGUGUACCGGAGUGACUAUUAACUAGCUGAUGCCCUGUGACAGCUGUGAGCUCUUUAACAAGCUCGCAGGCUCUCCCUUUCAUUAGCUGGGAUCAGGGCGCAGAGCCAUGGAGGGGAAAUCAGGGCUGUGUCCUGCAGUCUCGGACUGAGACAGACAGGCAGAGUAUUCUCACGUAGGAAGACACUCCAGUCUCCCCAGCGUCUAGUCUUGCAGUGCUGCAUCCAGGAAGGAUUGUCCAGUGGUUAGGGCACUAGCUGGGGAACUGGAUUCAAUUCCCUCUCCACCACAGACCGCCUGCCUACCCAUGGGCAAGUCCCUUAGCCUCUCUGUGCCUCAGAGCCCCAUCUGUACAACAGAGAUCCUAGUAGGACUUCAGAGAGGCGCUGUGCUGGCUUGAUUGCCUAGCUCCCUGCUGCUAAAAGGUCUAGAGCCACCAGUACCCUGGUUGCACCUAUGCUCCUUGCCCGCCACAUAU